rnacentral:lncRNA from 1 species
UGUCAGUGCACCUACCUUCUUAAAACAAAGAAACUAAAUUGGAUUCUUAAACAAGUUACUCUCCCGGUGUCCUGUGUUGAGACACUGUUCACUGCCUUUAGGUUUCCUCCCACAGUUGGAAGCAUUUGUUUCCCUCUUGUCGAUUCAGCGUGUGCUGCAUUGAGUCCUGCUCGGCCUGUAACUUUCAAAAGAAACCUCUGCAAAUCUGUAGCUCUCAGGAUCAGGAAUGGAACUUCGUGCACAAGACUAUCUCACUCCCCACGUGCCGGGAAAGCCACGAUCCAGCCGGCACAUCCAGCCCUGAUGCCAGGAGGUGCACAGCCGAGUGAGCCCAUGCUGUCUGGACCUUCCCAGCUGGUCUGCAGUCCGAGCGCCCUGGUCCUGCCCUGUAGCUCUGAAUCAGAGGCACUUCUGGCUGUGGCUGCCUUGCUGGCUGGAGGACAGUAUUAUUACCAACGCGAGGGUCAGCAGAAUAGGAGACCAGGAGGCAGCUCCAACCGGCUUGCACACCCGCUGCAGCACCACCACACACCUGCUUGAUGCCGGGCUGCUGCCCGAUCACACAUUCCCCCAAACACGACGCAUUCUCACGACAGCCAGACAAACAUUCGCCGACAUAUUGACUGAUCAUCCAAUUGCACCUUUCGCUCUUCACCGACCGUCUCCUUCCCAGUCUACUCAAGGGCUCACUACCAUCACCACAACGCCCAGUAUUGGUUUCACCAGGGGAGCUUCCGUCUCUCGCUUUUCGAGAAACUCUUGAUUGUCGUUUAACUUCUGAUCCUCCAGGUUCCUGACCUGCGACUGCCCUUGGACUACAGUUCUUGAUCCCUCUAUUUGGCUAAGUACAUCUGGCUCUUUUCUCCAUCUCUCUUUGCUCUCUCUCACUCAAGGUGUGAGAUUAAUCCAUUUUUUUCAUAGGGGCCACUAAAUUACAUUUUUGGCUACAGUGCCAUACACAGGCACAAGCUCCAGCCGUCCAGAGGAAACGGGUUGCAGCAGUCCAGUUAAGGCUUAAUGAG